UUUCUUUUCUUCUUCUCUCUAUACGUUGGUGUUCUAACCAAUAAUCACCGAUGCGAUAUUCUGUCCGAUCGAUUCAGGAACCAACUAACGAAUGCCAAAGUUGCUGUCUAAACAAGACUAUACUUUGUGAAUUUCGUUAAGGUUCGGAUCUCGUGACCAUCGUUAGGUUUGAUUAGGUUUAACACUAAUACGUAUUCCAUUCUGUUAAACUAAAUAUUUAACUACUCGAAACUCUACCCCGUACACUUACAAUCAAAAUGGAUGCUUAAUCAUCAGAGGAUUCAGAACUAUAAAGUAGAUGCUUAGAAUCAAGAUGCUUGUUUAAUCAAGACUAUAUGCUAACAAGGU
rnacentral:lncRNA from 1 species